AAGUUGUUGCGGUUAAAACGUUCGUAGUUGAAUUUGUGUCCCACACGGGUAAUUGGCCCACUUACGGGUUCUUAUUACUUGCCGGCUUGCUGGCUUUAGUGUGCGGACGUUUUACCGGUGAGGGAAACGGUGUAGUUUCGGCUGCAAUACGCCCCUUAUUUAUUUCAUAAACCCGUCUUGGUGCUUUUAAUCGAGUGCCAAUGUGGGCCGGUACUAUUACUUUGAACAAAUUAGAGUGCUUAAAGCAGGCUAAAUUUAAUGAAAGUUAAAACGCCUGAAUAUAUUUUGCAUGGAAUAAUGGAAUAGGACCUCUGUUCUACUUUCAUUGGUUUUUAGACCAAGAGGUAAUGAUUAAUAGAAGCAGUUGGGGGCAUUAGUAUUACGAGGCGAGAGGUGAAAUUCGUAGACCCUCGUAAGACUAACUUAAGCGAAAGCAUUUGCCAAGGAUGUUUUCAUUAAUCAAGAACGAAAGUUAGAGGAUCGAAGGCGAUCAGAUACCGCCCUAGUUCUAACCAUAAACGAUGCCAGCUAGCAAUUGUAUGUAGCUACUAAUUUUGGUUCAUACAGUCGCUUUCCGGGAAACCAAAGCUUUUGGGCUCCGGGGGAAGUAUGGUUGCAAAGCUGAAACUUAA
rnacentral:rRNA from 1 species